rnacentral:lncRNA from 10 species
UUUCAAUGGUUUUGCUUUUGGUCUUUACAGUCUAAUAUGUGUUUUACUUACCAAAAUUACAGUAUUAGAAUAUUAUGAAUAUCUCUGCUUUCUUAUUUUACUAGUGAGUUUUAUACCUUCAGAUUUUUUGUGUGUUACCUGGUAGCAUCCUUUUUUUUUUAGAUUGAAGAAGUCCCUUUAAAUUUAUUGUAUGAUAUAUCUUGUUUGAUCAAUUCCUUCAGCUUUUGUUUAUCUGGAAAAGUAUCUGUCCUUCACAUUUAAAUAACAGCUUUGCUGGGCUACAGUAUUCUUGGUAAGCAGGUUUUAUUUUCCUUCAGUAGUUUGAAUACAGCAUCUUACUCUCCUCUGGUCUGCAAGUCUUCUGCUAAGUAAUCUGUUGAAAGGCAUAUAAUGACUCCACUUCUUGUGUUAUGUUUCUUUUCUCCUGCUGCACUGAAUUUUUUAUUUUUUAGUGUUUGGAUUUGCUAAUUUGAUUAUGAUAUAACUUGGGUAAUUCUUCUUUGUGUUGAAAGUAAUUGGUGAUUUCUGAGAUCCUUAUACGUGGAUGAUCUUGUCUUCCUCUUCUUUUUCUAGAUUAAAAUAUGUUCGUUAUUUCCUUAAAUAUGCUUUUUAAGAUUUUUCUAUUUUAAUCUUCUUAAGGAAUUCCAAUUACAUGGAAAUUAGUUUACUUGAUGGUGUCCCAUAAAUUUUGUAUGCCUUUGUCAUUGUUUUUAAUUCUUUUUUUCUCCUCUGAUUAGAUAAUUUUACAUGUUUUGUCUAUAAGCUUGCUAAUUAAUUCCUGUUUGAUCAAGUCUCCUGUUGAAGCUUUCUAAUGAGGCUUUUAUUUAAGCUGUUGUAUUACUUAUUUCUAAGAUUUUCUUUGGGAUUUGUUUUUAAUUUAUUUCUCUGUUGAAUUUCUCAUUUUCAUCCUGAAUUGACUUUCAAAUUUUAUUUACUUUUUCAUCCAUUUUUAAAAAUGAUUCUCUGAUCUUCCUUCAGAGGAUGAUUCUGAUUUCACUGUUAGAAAUUUCACAGAUCUUCAGUUCUUCUGAGUUCAUUACUGGAGCUCUUGGUGGUGUUUGUUGUUUCCUUUGGUGGUGUCAUAUUUCCCUGACUUUUCACAAUUCUUACAUUUUUACAUUGAUGACAGCCCAUUUGUGGAGACAGCCAACUCUUUCAGUUUUUGCAAGUGUUCUUUGGUGAUGUUAGACGUUUACUUUCCAGUAUCAGAGCAUAAAUAGUGGCCUUUACUGUUUUCCAUUCUGGAAAAAACUUACAGUGAUCACCAGAACUAAAUCACUGCACUGGAGCUAAAUCAUUGUCUUGUCAUCAUAUCUUUGUCCAGGGAAGACUUAAAGUGAGCACCAGAGCUUAAUUACUGUCCUGAACUAUAUUGCUUCCCCGCUAUUUUUCCCAGUCUGGAGAAGCGUUAAGCAGGCACUGGAACUUAAUUCCACAAUUUUGUUUCCAAACCAAGGGAAGGCUCCACCAGAGCUUCUGAGAUUUGUGAAAAAUCUAGCUAGGAGUUUGGGCCUCCAUUUAAAUUGUGCCCCUGAAGUGCCUUGAUAUCAGCUAGUAUUUUCAACAUGGUUUCCCUGCUGAUUGAAGUGUUGAGUAACCACCAAGAUCUGCAUACCAGUCACUGUGAUCAGCAUCCUUCUCUUUGUCCCCAAUUCAUCCCAGGUAGUCUAGACCUCCUUGCAUUCCCAGUGGCUCCUGUGGGAUGGUAUGAGAGUGACCUUCCCAUGAAGAUUCCUAAACAAGCAGGGAGAUGGAACAUCUACUCUAAUUUCCUCCUCUCACCUUGGCAACCAUAAGUCUAAGAAAAUUAUCUGUGAAUGGCAUUAUGCCAGGUUACAGGAGGGGUUGGCACAGACUGAAAUGAUUUUUUUUUUUUACUGGUUGUAACUUCUCUCAAUUAGGCAUCUCUUUAAAGUUCUGGUGUAUUUAGGCUGGUAUUCUUGUUUUUGAAUCGUUUCUAGUUGUAUUUUUUUGAAGUUAGUAAUGCUGGGUGACUCCUCUAUUUGGCCAUCUUGCUGACAUCACUUUUAUAUCCACAACUUCUGUUUGUCUUUUUAUAUUGAGAUUCCUAACGUGAUUAUUUUUUGUAUAUUUACCGUUAGUUCUUUGAAGUGUUAAUAAAAGCUGCUUCAAAGUAUUUUUCUGCUAACUCUGAGUUGGAAUCAAUUUUGAUUGACUUUUUAAAACCCUUGCAUAUGUAUCAAUUUUUUUAUUGUCUAGUAAUUUCUUGGUAAAAUUACUAGUCAUAAAACUACUAGUCAUUAAAUUUGAGCAUUGUAGAUAAUACAUUGUAGCAACUCUUGAUUUUGUUUUGUUCUUCAGAAGUUUGUUUAUUUUUUGCUUUAGAAGGGAAUCAGCUUGUCUCAACUCAAACUGUGAACAGUAUCUCCAUCAUGGGAUGCAUAGUUUAGUGUGGUUCUCUGGAAAUAUCUCUUGUUCUCAGUUUAUCAGUAAGUCAAUGCUUUGUUUGAGUGGAGAUUAUAGUUAGAUAUUAGAAUCCAGUAAAGCUUAUUCUUUACUGCAUGACUUGUGUUUAGGUUGAGGGAAACUUUUAAAGUUGUUAAAAAUUCAAAAAUAUCGCUAGUGUUUUAAUUUUUUCAGGCUCUCUAGGAUCUUCUGGUGGCAUAUAUAUUUUAGCAGAGAGAAAUGUGUGGGGAGUUUCUUAACUCAGCCUAUCUGUGCCUUUUUUCUUCCAAAAUUGUCCCUUUAAAUUUCUAGCUGUUCUUCUCCUCUCUGAACUAAGUCCCCUACCUCUACCACUAAAACUGUAGGUUUUUGUCACCUAUUUUCUAAGGGGUAAGAGUAUCCUUGGGCAAGAAGAUCACAAACUCACUCUCUGAUCUGAUGCGGCAAUGUUCUAUGAAUAAACAGUUAUAAAAUUGUUGCCUGCUCGGGUUGAUUUUCUAGUGGCCUAAAAUUCAUGUUUUUAUUUUAACAAUUUUAUCCCAUCUUACAUAAGUUUUAUGCUGAGAUUAAUGCCAACAUCUUUUCAUGUGGCCAUAACCAAUGUAAUAUUUUAAUUAAACUACCUCUAAAUCUCUGCACUUGCCUUUCUCUAAUCUUUAGCAGAAAACUUCAGUUUUGCUUUUUAAAAAAUAUUUUUUCUCUACAAAAUAUUUUUUAAAAAGCAAAACCAUAUAUGCUUUAUAUUAUCUAUCCUUUAAAAUAAAGCAUAUUUAUAUGUGCUUUAUAUCUUUAAGAUUUGAUAUAAAUGUUGCUUCUUCUGGGAAGCCUUACUGUAUUUCCUUAGAAAUAUUUACUUGGCUCUUCAUCUGCAUUUUCAUAGAAAUCCAUUUUUGUCUGUUUUAGCAGAUUUCAUUCCUCAUUAUAAUUACUAUUAUGGUUACCUAUUGUCUGCAUUUAACCACUAAUAAUGUAGAUAAUUCAAUGUAGAGGGACAUGUGACUUGUACAUCAUAUGCAUUUAAUAUAUGAUUGCAGAAUUUAUGGUUACAUACAACUAAUUCCUGGCAUCUUACAAAGGACAUUUCAGUAGCCAUCUUUUUUUAAAACUAAUAACUAUAUGGUUUUGAGUAAAUUAUUGAAAUGCUUUUUCUGGAUAAUCUUUCCCUCUGCCUUUUGGAUCCAUGUAUACUCAUGUUUACUUCCCAUUUCUCUCUAUUAUUAAUUGUAUAACUUCAUGCAUGUUACUUAUUUUUUGUACUUUACUUUCUUCACCCAAAAUGGAAAAUUGAUACCUCACAGAAUUUUUGUAAGAAUCAUGGAAAUAUCAUAUACAGUGUUCACUAUAUAUGCCAGGGACAUGAUUGGUGCUGUUUAAUUUGAACUGUUUUCUGCAAUUCAGUGCUGACCAUGUUUCUAUGUCCCAGGCAUAGAAAAAGAGAAACGUUAAACUCUCAGCAAUGUCAUGUUGAUGUAUGGGAAACACAAGGAUCCCGAAUUACCUGCCAGGUAUCUACUAUUGCAGAAGUUCUUUAAAGUAUAUGUAUAGUGAACUCAUUGCAGAAAAAAUACAGACUCUAUAGCACACUUCUUGUCCUUAUACUAGUUAUCGAAGAUUGAACAUAUGUGUUUACGGUUUGUCAGUGACAUGCUUAAUUACAUUAUUAACAGACACAAUGUCAUUGGUAAUUUUCUCCAAGAUUCCUCAAAGCUCCAAAGCAUUUGAAAGAGAUUUUAGUAUUUCUGUUCCUACUCUGGAAAAAUAACCUAUAAUUUAACAUUGUAAACCAAUUGUGCAUCUCAAAGAUCACUAUUAUUGCCUUAUUUUCUGAUAGUUUUCUCCUCCCAUGAGCUUGUGUGGGAGGGAAAAGAAGUAGUGGACCUGAAAUUCCACCAAAUGUGACAGUAUGUGGCCAGUAAUGUGCCAGUAUGUGGCCAGUAAUGUGCCAUCAUAUUUGCUUUAACCCUCACAAUAAAUCUGAAAGACAAAUAUUAUUGACCAUUUUAUAGCAGGGAAAGUGGUACAGAGAAGUUAGUCCUGUUGCUUAAAGUCACGCAGCUUUGAAGAGCAGAAUUAGGGUUCAGAGUCAAGCCUUUUAAAUCUGAAGUUUAUGACUCUUUCUUCUAAAACACCACUUAUAUGAAGGACUUUGAACAAAUGAUACCAUAUUGUAGUAGACCCAGCAAUAACACUGUUUCAUGCUGUGCCAAAUGACUAUCUUUGCAAUAUAUAAAACAACAUGACAUAACUGUGACAUAGUCAUUUAAAAAUAUUUGUAAAACCACCACAAAAAUGCCUUUUAUAAUUUCAAUUGUGAAUAAUGCCAAGAAUGUUAACUCUUGAAAUGUUAACUUGUGUAUAUACUCAUGCUGUGUGCAUAUUAAUAUAAGCUUAUUUUAUAUACAUAGAUCUAAUACUUUUCAAAUGCCAUUGUUUUCACUAGAUUGAACUGUCAUCUGCUUUAAUAACAUGAAAUUCUUAUUUCAUAUCAGUAUCACAAACAGCUACACUAUGUUUUUUUUGACAAGCUGUAUUUUUACUUUAUGCUUUAUUCUUGAAGCUUCAAAAAUUGAUACCAGUUCUUUUCAAGACAAUGUGUUCAACACAAUGAGGGAGAAGAGAAAGGUAAUUCCAUCUUUCCAUUAGGAUGACUGGUUUUAUUUAAUGAUAGUUUAGAAAAGAUUCUCUCAGCCUAAUAAUUCAUCUUUGGUAAUGCCAUGUAAAUUUUUGGAUUGUUGUCAACUUUGGAAAAACUUUCACAAAAUUUCUUUCAUAUAUUAUUGUAAGAUUUCAGAGUAGUUUAGGUAUUUUUGUGCAGUUACUCAUCUUCAAUAUUCUUUGAAUCAA